GUGGGGAAUCUUGCGCAAUGGGCGAAAGCCUGACGCAGCCAUGCCGCGUGAAUGAUGAAGGUCUUAGGAUUGUAAAAUUCUUUCACCGGGGACGAUAAUGACGGUACCCGGAGAAGAAGCUCCGGCUAACUUCGUGCCAGCAGCCGCGGUAAUACGAAGGGGGCUAGCGUUGCUCGGAAUUACUGGGCGUAAAGGGCGCGUAGGCGGACAGCUUAGUCAGAGGUGAAAGCCCAGGGCUCAACCUUGGAAUUGCCUUUGAUACUGGCUGUCUUGAGUUUGGGAGAGGUGAGUGGAACUCCGAGUGUAGAGGUGAAAUUCGUAGAUAUUCGGAAGAACACCAGUGGCGAAGGCGACUGACUGGACAAGUAUUGACGCUGAGGUGCGAAAGCGUGGGGAGCAAACAGGAUUAGAAACCCUGGUAGUCC
rnacentral:rRNA from 1 species